AAUCUACUCUAUCCGUUCGAAAAUACUUGUCGUAGGAAUGGAUGUAUCUAGAUCUAUUUUAGUUAUAGAUACAUCCACAUUUAUUCAUUUUUGCGACAAGUAAUUCCGGACAGAGGGAGUAUAAU
rfam:Hordeum vulgare subsp. vulgare, WGS project CAJW01000000 data, contig: morex_contig_1559025